GCCGAAAUGGCGGAACUGGUAGACGCGCCGGACUCAAAAUCCGGUUAGGUUAAACUAGUAAGGGUUCGAGUCCCUUUUUCGGCA
rnacentral:tRNA from 2 species